rnacentral:rRNA from 1 species
GAGUUUGAUCAUGGCUCAGAUUGAACGCUGGCGGCGUGCUUAACACAUGCAAGUCGAGCGGAAAGGCCCCUUCGGGGGUACUCGAGCGGCGAACGGGUGAGUAACACGUGAGCAACCUGCCCCUGACUCUGGGAUAAGCCCGGGAAACUGGGUCUAAUACCGGAUAUGACCGGCCUUCGCAUGGAGUGCCGGUGGAAAGUUUUUCGGUUGGGGAUGGGCUCGCGGCCUAUCAGCUUGUUGGUGGGGUGAUGGCCUACCAAGGCGACGACGGGUAACCGGCCUGAGAGGGCGACCGGUCACACUGGGACUGAGACACGGCCCAGACUCCUACGGGAGGCAGCAGUGGGGAAUAUUGCGCAAUGGGCGGAAGCCUGACGCAGCGACGCCGCGUGGGGGAUGACGGCCUUCGGUUGUAA